CAGCAGCCGCCGCGGUAAUGCGUAGGGUGCAAGCGUUAAUCGGAAUUACUGGGCGUAAAGCGUGCGCAGGCGGUCCGCUAAGACAGAUGUGAAAUCCCCGGGCUUAACCUGGGAACUGCAUUUGUGACUGGCGGGCUAGAGUAUGGCAGAGGGGGGUAGAAUUCCACGUGCAGCAGUGAAAUGCGUAGAGAUGUGGAGGAAUACCGAUGGCGAAGGCAGCCCCCUGGGCCAAUACUGACGCUCAUGCACGGAAGCGUGGGGAGCAAACAGGAUUAGAUACCCGUGUAGUCCCUGUCUCUUAUAC
rnacentral:rRNA from 1 species